CCUACGGGAGGCAGCAGUGAGGAAUAUUGGUCAAUGGGCGCAAGCCUGAACCAGCCAAGUCGCGUGCGGGAAGACGGCCCUACGGGUUGUAAACCGCUUUUGCACGGGGGUAACACCCUCCACUCGUGGCGGUCUGCAAGUACCGUGCGAAUAAGGAUCGGCUAACUCCGUGCCAGCAGCCGCGGUAAUACGGAGGGUUCGAGCGUUAUCCGGAUUUAUUGGGUUUAAAGGGUGCGUAGGCGGUCGAUCAAGUCAGCGGUAAAAUCGCGAGGCUCAACUCCGCCCAGCCGUUGAAACUGGUUGUCUUGAGUUAACAAGAGGCAGGCGGAAUGCGUGGUGUAGCGGUGAAAUGCAUAGAUAUCACGCAGAACCCCGAUUGCGAAGGCAGCAUACCGGGGUUCGACUGACGCUGAGGCACGAAAGUGUGGGUAUCGAACAGGAUUAGAUACCCCGGUAGUC
rnacentral:rRNA from 1 species